CACAAAUUUUCAAAUUUGUUGAUCACAAAUUAUUUUUCAGUCGCAAGUUAUCGAAUUUUAAGGUAACGAUUUAAUAUUUGGUUGCAGAUAACAAAAUAAUUGGUCACGUACACCAAAUAUUGGGUCACAUAUCAUCACCAACACUACUGCUACUUGUGACCACCGUUGCCAGCACCUCAACACUACUACUAUCGUACCACUGCCAUUACCACCACCAUUGUUGAUUGCCACUACCACCUUCAACACCUCCACUUACACUACCACGCAAAAAUCGUCACCAAAUUCACCAUCCUCGCCAAUACUUUUACCUGUACAACCAAUAAAAGCCACCUAAAACCUUCCAACAAUGCCAAAACCACCCCAACCACCACACCCAAGCAGAUUCAACACCAUCAUUGGCCUCAUCACCGCAACACCUCAUCACCACUACGACGACAACAUGAAAACCCAACACAAGCAGAUCUGACUAGCACCGAAUUGUGGUACAGAUCAUCGAACUGACAAAAAUUUCAGAUCCUCGCCCCACAAGCCGGACGCUUCGAUCUCCUCUUCAUUAUAGCUACUGACGACGACGCACAAACCCACCAUCACCGAGCCCACCAUUACAGCCGUGUGCAGCGACAAUGAACAACCACUACCGUCGAUCUGUGUAGAGCCACUCACAACGACUUCAUUAUCGCUGUGCGCAGCUCUCGAUGCCUGAGAGUGUCUUUGUUGGCGGCGCUCUCCGACGGGCAACAACAGUUCAUGUGUGACGGAACCUCCAGUGGUGUUUUGUGACAGAAAGAAGGGAGAGAGAGAGAGGUGUUUUGUGACAGAAAGAAGGGGGGAGAGAGAGAGAGAGAAUGAAGAGGGUAGAGAAAGAAAAUAUAGGGAAAAAUGAUUAGGGUUUGAAAUAAUU
rnacentral:lncRNA from 1 species